UACGUAGGGUGCAAGCGUUGUUCGGAAUCAUUGGGCGUAAAGCGCGUGUAGGUGGCUAGACAAGUCGGGUGUGAAAGCCCAGAGCUCAACUCUGGAAGUGCAUUCGAAACUAGCUGGCUAGAAGAUGGUAGAGGAAGGUGGAAUUCCAAGUGUAGAGGUGAAAUUCGUAGAUAUUUGGAGGAAUACCGGCGGCGAAGGCGGCCUUCUGGGCCAUUCUUGACACUGAGACGCGAAAGCGUGGGUAGCAAACAGG
rnacentral:rRNA from 1 species